UUCAACGCCGGCCAAUCCCCACUGUUUUAGAUCGAUCCAUCCAUCCAACUGCAUCUCCCAUCGCAGCCAGCCCCCACGCUCGAUCUCUCCCGCAGCCAGCCAGCGCCCGAUCCAGGAUGGAUCGAGGCCACAGCCUCGCGCCUGCUUCCUCUUCAUUGCCUCGCUCGAACCCAACCGGAGAGGAGCUCCUCCGCCGUCGAGCACCACCAGGCGCCUGCACCCCGCUACUCCCCGUGCCCUCAUUCCCGAGCUCCAUUGAGAGGAGAGGAUCCCUCGCAAGCCACUGCUCCACCGCUGCCCUCGUGCUCGUGCCCGAGCUCCUCCCGAUCCAGAUGAGCGUCACCCCCUUCUUCUCCUUCUUGUGCUCCUCCCGUUUCUCCCUCUCUCAUCUCUCUGUUCUCCUUUCUCUGUCGACAGGAGUACCCCGCGCCAUGGCGUCGCUGAGCUUUUCCCGCACCAGCGCCUCAAGCCUCCACCGCUGCGGAUCCGCCUCCCCAGCCAUCCCGCGCACUGGCCCUCACCGGAGACGCGCUAGGCCGCCGCCGUCGUCCUGCUGCAAGGCGAAGCGCGGCCCGCUCCAUCCUCUGCUUCGUCGACCUGCUUCGUCCCCUUCCUCUGUGAUUCGGGUGAGCGUGAACUAGGCCGCUACCGCACAUGCCCGCGUGGGCCACAAGCAUGCCCGAGGCCCAGCGCGCCCCUCCUGCAGCCUCCCCACCAACUGGGCCUCGGCCCAUGGGAAAACGAAAUCAUCUUCUCUACACAAACUGAAGCAAGGGAGUUUUCGGCAUGGAUCCAGCUGAUCAAUGAUCGUAAUGCAUCAAAUUUUGGCUCCUCAUCUGGAUCUAAAAAACAUCGGGAUCAGCAUCUAAAACAGUGGCGACAACACAAAACAAACCCGGAAAGUACGCGGACACAUAUUGAUAUAUCAGUUCACAUUAUUGAAUAUCCGCAACACUGUAUGGAAUAUUUUUCAUAGGUUCAGAACCUACAAGUUUUCCACCAACAACAAAUGCAGAUUUGCAUUGAACAGACUCCAUGUACGUGUUACAAGACUGAACGGCCCAAAUCCUUUCUUCGAAUUGACACAUGUGGAGAAAAAGCAUGCACUUCCCUUGAGCAGGGAGAAGAUGAGAAUCAGACCAACUAUAUAGGUUGGUCUUCUCUCGAAUCUGCCUUCAGGACAGUGGGUUUAGGAAAGUUGAUGCGAGCGGCGUCUAUACAGCGGAUGCUGGAUGCACACUUAGCGGAGAUGUCGAUGCAAUGGCACGGGACGAGGGAUUCAUAUGCGGUGGCAGCUAAAGGCUGCGGCAGGGUAGUCCGGCAUGGGCUCGCGGAAGACUGGAAAUCUGGAAGAGGAUGGGCGAGGAGGACAUAGAGAGGCAAGCCAGACACAGCGAGGGUCAGAUACAUGGCAUGUCUACACGUUUUUUAGAGGUUGCUUCUACAUUUUUUGUUGUUGGACUACGAACAACAGAACAUAUACAGUUUGCAUGUCUCCAUAUCUAGGACUUUAGCAACAAAAACAUUUUAGAUGGCAUCUACAGUUUUUUUUAUUGAACAGAUUGGGAGUUUAAAAUAGCUUGAGAUAUAAGUUAUUUAAAUUAUAUUUAAGA